rnacentral:lncRNA from 1 species
GUAAAUCUUUACCAUAGGAUGGUAGAACAUUUCUCAGUUCUCUGUCUAGCAGCAUAGUUACAUUUGGUACAAACUUUGUCUUUAUAUUUGCUUGUUAAAAAUAUCAAAUUAUGACACGUUUAAACAAUUAUGACUUUUAGCUUUAAUAACAAAUUAUGCACUUUCCAAAAAAAAAAAAAGUUUAAUCUAUCCUUUAAGUAGCCUUUAUUCUCCAUUUUAAUUGCUUUUUAAGGUAACAUUUUACAGUAUUCUAGAGAAAUGUGAUACAUUCAUUUGAAAUGAGUUCAUUGCUUCUAAGCAGUGGCAGUGAGUCAUCUGUGAUUGCUCACAUCUCUGCCUUUGUCUGACUUCAAAUAUUUUUUUCCCUUCAGACCUUCUUUUCAAAACAUUGUCCCUUUCUCGGAAUGUCCUCUUCUACUGGGUAUUGAAAGUCACGUUUCAUGGUGUGACCGUAUGGUAUUUUAAGAUGCCUUUAGUGCUACUGGAAGAUGAUGCUACCACAAGUCUUGAGCUCCUGUCAGUCAUCACCGGAAGAAGUGCUGUAAUCCAAGACAAAUGUGUGGCAGGUAAUUCCCGGUAAGUUGUUGAACUGUCAUUAAAUAGUACAUAAGCUAUUCAGUCAUUCAGUAUUCACAGAGCAAUAGAAAGAGUGGCUGUGACCUUGUAAAUUAGUGAGGGUGCAUCUGUCUGAUCAGAGGGCUUGAGUUCUGGUCCUCUUCAAGUUAGCAUGAAAACAUUUCACAGAGGACUAAACAGCUGCAAGAGAAGAUCCCAACAAUCAGAUUCCCAAAUAUUUUGGGCAAUAAUCUUGUGUAUCAGCAAGAGGGUCUGACUCUAGGUGUCCACUGUGCUAGCUCAGGGUUCUAAUUACAGGCUGCUACUUGGACUGACAUGAUGUCUGCUGCUGAAGUGAAUUGUUCUAUGAUUGUGCCUGUGCCAGUCUGGGAACAGCAUAAAGGCAGAAAAGCAUCUGCUUCUGACACCAGGACUCCUGAGCGCAGUGAAUCUGUGUUGCCAUGCAGGAGUCAAAAGGGGUUAACGACAAACCUUUUAUCACCAAUGAGUAAAGAAAUUCCUCAAAAUCUAAGCCUUGCUCUCUGCAAUUCUUCUCAUCUGUGUUUCUUCCUGUUAUACUCAAAGGUCUGCAAGGUAUGUUUAGAGCAUUCUCUUUGACUCUUACAUGAGCGCUUUGCUCAGGAGAGCACAAAGCAGGAAAGAAUGCAGCAGAUUUGCUGCCUUUUUCCAUUCAGCAUGUUGCUGCCUCACAUCUGUUUUGGAGUUCCUUUUCCCUUCCCUUCUCAUAUGUAGCCUCUGUGAUGGGGAAGUGCCCCUGUCGUGGACCUCUCCUCUCCACCUUCCCCUGCUACUUAGGUCUCAAAGAAGGGAAUGAAAGGGAAGAGGUACAUAACAGAUGUCCAAAGGGGGAUAUGAAGAGGGACAGCCAAACCUGACAUGAGGUAUAAAGACAAGACUAAUCUGGUAAAAUUAGAUUAGGAUGAAUAGCCAGUUGGCAGAUGCACAUGUAAAAAUGUGGCAGAUGCCCUUCUUUCCUGUACUCGAUCCACAUACUCCCUCCUACAUUUUCAGGUCUCUUCAAGGUUGGGGGAGGAUAUUCAGAGCUAUAUCUAUCUCCAGACAUAGCUCACAGGGUGCAGUUCUACCACCAGUCUUCUUUAGCUGUAAAUCCAGUUCAUAAAGUUGUUUCUCUCCCUCUUCCCUUCCCAACCCUUCUGUCAGCUGGAAUAUUUUUUGUUUUCUUUGUGCAUGCUGCACUUCACUACUCCAUCACUAUUGCUUUUUAAAAUAUUUAUGAAAAAAUUUCUUUCCUUUUCCAUGUAGUUUUUUCAUGAGUCUGUUUUAACCCUUUCAAAACUGAUUAAAGUCACUAACUAGUCCACAGUUAACAAUUUAUUUAUUUAUUUAUAGUAUUUUUCUAUUAUCACAACCUGUCAUUGUAUCAAGUACAAUGGUAGGAAGCGUGUAACUGAUAUUGAUGGUGCUAAAACAGAAUGAGUGAUCACACUCAACAUUUUAAAGAGCUGUAGAUAUUAAGGGGAGAUGUCAGCCACGAGUUUAUAGGUUCCCAUUUUAAUAGGGAAGUAGUUUAGUCCUACCCAUCCUGCUGUUUCAUAAAGCUGAGCCAAAGAUAAAGAUUACCAGGCAAGCCUGCUAAUAAAUAUGUGGUCAGAAAACA